rnacentral:rRNA from 1 species
ACGUAGGGCGCGAGCGUUGUCCGGAUUUAUUGGGCGUAAAGAGCUCGUAGGCGGCUUGUCGCGUCGUCCGUGAAAACCCACAGCUCAACUGUGGGCUUGCGGUCGAUACGGGCAGGCUGGAGUUCGGUAGGGGAGACUGGAAUUCCUGGUGUAGCGGUGAAAUGCGCAGAUAUCAGGAGGAACACCAGUGGCGAAGGCGACUCUCUGG